GCUCUCGUGGCCCAGUUGGUUAGUGCGUCGUACUUAUAAGCAGAACAGGAGUAUAUGCGAAGGUCGAGGGUUCGAUCCCCUCCGGGAGCA